AACGUAGGAGACAAACGUUAUCCGGAGUUACUGGGCGUAAAGGGCGUGCAGGUGGUCUGUUAAGUCUGGCGUGAAAGCUCUCGGCUAAACCGGGAGAGGUCGUUGGAUACUGGCGGACUAGAGGACGGUAGAGGCGUGUGGAAUUCCGGGUGUAGUGGUGAAAUGCGUAGAGAUCCGGAGGAACACCAGUGGCGAAGGCGACACGCUGGGCCGUACCUGACACUAAAACGCGACAGCAUGGGGAGCGAACGG
rnacentral:rRNA from 1 species